AGAUUUCAGGUUUGUCAAGUUUUGGUAUAGAACUCGGUUUCUUUGUUGAAGAAUAUGCUGGAAGCAAAGGAAGAUUUCCUCCAACUAAAAGAAGGGAAAAGAAAUCACUCUAUAUUGCCACUAUUGAAAAAGGACAUAGCUUGGUGAACUCCUUGAUUGAAACUGGAAGAAUUGACAGUCUGGGUCUGGUUGUUGUAGACGAGUUGCACAUGAUUGGUGAAGGAAGCCGUGGAGCUACACUGGAAAUGACCCUAGCAAAAAUCCUCUACACUAGCAAAACGACUCAAAUUAUUGGUAUGAGUGCAACAUUAAACAAUGUUGAAGACCUACAAAAGUUUCUUCAAGCAGAAUAUUAUACCAGUCAAUUUAGACCAGUAUGUACCUAAGGUUGAGUUAAAAGAAUAUCUGAAAAUAAAUGAUACAAUAUAUGAAGUUGACAGCAAAGCUGAGAAUGGCAUGACUUUUUCACGUCUUCUUAAUUAUAAGUAUUCUGAUACCCUAAAAAAGAUGGAUCCUGAUCACUUGGUAGCAUUGGUGACAGAAGUUAUUCCCAAUUAUUCCUGCUUAGUU
rnacentral:lncRNA from 1 species